rnacentral:rRNA from 1 species
AACGAACGCUGGCGGCAUGCCUAACACAUGCAAGUCGAACGAAGCCUUCGGGUUUAGUGGCGCACGGGUGCGUAACGCGUGGGAAUCUGCCCUGAGGUACGGAAUAACUCAGGGAAACUUGUGCUAAUACCGUAUGAUGUCGAAAGACCAAAGAUUUAUCGCCUAGGGAUGAGCCCGCGUUGGAUUAGCUAGUUGGUGAGGUAAAGGCUCACCAAGGCGACGAUCCAUAGCUGGUCUGAGAGGAUGAUCAGCCACACUGGGACUGAGACACGGCCCAGACUCCUACGGGAGGCAGCAGUGGGGAAUAUUGGACAAUGGGCGAAAGCCUGAUCCAGCAAUGCCGCGUGAGUGAAGAAGGCCUUCGGGUUGUAAAGCUCUUUUACCCGGGAAGAUAAUGACUGUACCGGGAGAAUAAGCCCCGGCUAACUCCGUGCCAGCCGCCGCAGUAA